ensembl:snoRNA SNORD31 Small nucleolar RNA SNORD31
AGCAGGAGUGAUGAGUUGAAUACAGCCCCAGUUGAUCAUGGGACAGAAAGAUAUUCUCAGAGAGUUGUG